CGUAGGCGCAAGCGUUGUCCGGAAUUAUUGGGCGUAAAGAGCUCGUAGGCGGCUUGUCACGUCGGAUGUGAAAGCCCGGGGCUUAAACCCCGGGUCGUGCAUUCGUAUACGGGCGUAGCUAGAGUGUGGUAGGGGAGGAUCGGAAUUCCUGGUGUAGCGGUGAAAUAGCGCAGAUAUCAGGAGGAACACCGGUGGCGAAGGCGGAUCUCUGGGCCGAUUACUGACGCUGAGGAGCGAAAGCGUGGGGAGCGAACAGGAUU
rnacentral:rRNA from 1 species